rnacentral:rRNA from 1 species
CGGAGGAAAAGAAAUCAAGCGAGAUUCCCCCAGUAGCGGCGAGCGAACGGGGAAAAGCCUAAACCGUCUCUUCGGAGACGGGGUUGCGGGACCUUCAUCAUGAGUGAAUCAUCCUAGUCGAAGCGGUCUGGAAAGGCCCGGCACAGCAGGUAACACCCCUGUAGGCGAAAGGACGAGCCAUUCCGAAGGGAUCCCAAGUACCGCGGGGCACGUGAAAUCCCGUGGGAAUCCGGGGGGACCACCCUCCAAGGCUAAAUACUCCUCAGCGACCGAUAGUGAACCAGUACCGUGAGGGAAAGGUGAAAAGCACCCCGGAAGGGGAGUGAAACAGAACCUGAACCCGUAUGCUUACAAGCAGUCGGAGCGCGAAAGCGUGACGGCGUGCCUUUUGUAGAAUGAACCGGCGAGUUGCGGUCACGAGCAAGGUUAAGGCGAGAAGCCGUAGCCGAAGCGAAAGCGAGUCUGAAUAGGGCGAGUUAAGUUCGUGGCUGCAGACCCGAAACCGGGUGAUCUACCCAUGUCCAGGGUGAAGCGGAGGUAAAACUUCGUGGAGGCCCGAACCGACCGACGUUGAAAAGUCGGCGGAUGAGGUGUGGGUAGGGGAGAAAUUCCAAUCGAACUCGGAGAUAGCUGGUUCUCCCCGAAAUAGCUUUAGGGCUAGCCUCGGUGGUAAGAAUGCGGGAGGUAAAGCGCUGAUAGGGCUAGGGGCCUUCACCGGUUACCGAACCCUGUCAAACUCAGAAUGCCCGUAUUUAUCCCCGGGAGUCAGACGGCGAGUGCUAAGAUCCGUCGUCAAAAGGGAAACAGCCCAGACCGACAGCUAAGGUCCC